rnacentral:rRNA from 1 species
CCUACGGGUGGCAGCAGUGGGGAAUAUUGGGCAAUGGACGAAACCCUGACCCAGCAACGCCGCGUGAAUGAUGAAGGCCUUCGGAUUGUAAAGUUCUUUUCUCAGGGAAGAAGCAAGUGACGGUACCUUAGGAAUAAGCCUCGGCUAACUACGUGCCAGCAGCCGCGGUAAUACGUAGGAGGCGAGCGUUAUCCGGAAUGACUGGGUGUAAAGGGUGAGUAGGUGGUUUGGCAAGUUAGUAGCGUAACCCCCAGGCUCAACCUUGGAACUGCUAGUGAAACUGUUGGACUUGAGUGCAGGAGAGGCAACCGGAAUGCCUAGUGUAGCGGUGAAAUGCGUAGAUAUUAGGAGGAACACCAGUGGCGAAGGCGGGUUGCUAGACUGUAACUGACACUGAGGCACGAAAGCGUGGGGAGCAAACAGGAUUAGAUACCCGGGUAGUC